UUUGUGGUCGUGCUGUUUUCUUCUUUGCCCUUUUCCCCUCCACCAGUGUCCUUCCCAGCUCGAAUUUCCUUCAUUUUUGCGGCCUCCUCAAUGCAUCCAGUACACGAUCGAACCUGGUUUAUGGGAAACAAGACCAUCAUGCACAGACAAUAGUGCACCGAAAACUCUGAAUGACGCAAGACCGCGAGGUGUCUUGCUUCCAAAAA
rnacentral:lncRNA from 1 species